AUGCCUCCUCCCUCACUGCUUCGCCCUCCGCUCUCGCGGCUCCUCCGCCGCUCCCAGACCCCAUCCCCUCUCCGACGAACCCCCAGCUUUACCCCAUCCCCUCCGCUCGUCCAGCCCAAGCGGCGGCACCUCUCCGCCGCGCAGCUCGCCGACCCGCUCUCCGCCGCAGGGGUGGAGGAGGCGGUGGUGGGCUUCGUCACCGGCAAGCGCAAGGCCACCGAGGUAGCCCACGCGGUGUGGGGAAGUAUCGUUCAGAAAGGAGAUACAGUGGUCGAUGCCACCUGCGGGAAUGGCAACGAUACGCUCGCUCUGCUUAAGAUGGUGGCUGAUGAGAGCGUGCGAGGGCCUGUCUAUGGAUUGGACAUCCAAGAUUCUGCGAUAGACAGCACUUCCGCUUUUCUGAAGAUGGCCGUCGACAGCCAUGAGAGGGAGCUAGUCAAAUUGUUUUGCAUAUGUGACAGUAGAAUGGAGGAUAUCAUUCCAAAAGAUUCUCCUGUGAGGCUUGUAGCAUUCAUUCUGGGCUACCUUUCAGGAGGAGAUAAAACAAUAAUCACAGUACCUGAGACACCUGAGCUGGCACUACAAGCUGCCAGCAGAAUUGUUGGCUCAGGGGGACUCAUUAGUGUCCUUGUCUACAUUGGGCAUCUGGGUGGAAGACUUUUUUUGGGAGGAAUCACUGGGGAGGAGUUCCCCCACCUGAAAUAG
rnacentral:rRNA from 1 species